UACGGAGGAUCCAAGCGUUAUCCGGAUUAUUGGGUUUAAAGGGUGCGUAGGCGGCCUGUUAAGUCAGGGUGAAAGACGGUAGCUCAACUAUCGCAGUGCCCUUGAUACUGAUGGGCUUGAAUUGACUAGAGGUAGGCGGAAUGUGACAAGUAGCGGUGAAAUGCAUAGAUAUGUCACAGAACACCGAUUGCGAAGGCAGCUUACUAUGGUCUUAUUGACGCUGAGGCACGAAAGCGUGGGGAUCAAACAGG
rnacentral:rRNA from 1 species